UACGUAGGGGGCAAGCGUUGUCCGGAUUUAUUGGGCGUAAAGAGCGUGUAGGCGGCCUGACAGGUCUGCUGUGAAAACUCGAGGCUCAACCUCGAGAUGUCGGCGGAAACCGUCUGGCUAGAGUCCGGAAGAGGAGAGUGGAAUUCCUGGUGUAGCGGUGAAAUGCGCAGAUAUCAGGAAGAACACCUAUGGCGAAGGCAGCUCUCUGGGACGGUACUGACGCUGAGACGCGAAGGCGUGGGGAGCGAACGGG
rnacentral:rRNA from 1 species